CCUACGGGAGGCAGCAGUGAGGAAUAUUGGUCAAUGGGCGCGAGCCUGAACCAGCCAAGUCGCGUGAGGGAAGACGGUCCUAUGGAUUGUAAACCUCUUUUGUCGGGGAGCAAAAGACGCCACGCGUGGCGUUCCGAGAGUACCCGAAGAAAAAGCAUCGGCUAACGCCGUGCCAGCAGCCGCGGUAAUACGGAGGAUGCGAGCGUUCUCCGGAUGUAUUGGGUUGAAAGGGUGCGCAGGCGGAAGAUCAAGUCAGCGGUAAAAUUGAGAAGCUCAACCUCUUCGAGCCGUUGAAACUGGUUUUCUUGAGUGAGUGAGAAGUAUGCGGAAUGCGUGGUGUAGCGGUGAAAUGCAUAGAUAUCACGCAGAACUCCGAUUGCGAAGGCAGCAUACCGGCGCUCAACUGACGCUCAUGCACGAAAGUGUGGGUAUCGAACAGGAUUAGAUACCCGGGUAGUC
rnacentral:rRNA from 1 species